GAGUCCCCGGGGAGCGGCGGUGGCGGCGUCCUGGGGCCGGGAGGAGCGAACACCUGCCGCGGUCCUCCCGCCGGCGCUGGGCACACGACUGUCUAUCCCAGAUGGCUGCACUGGCCUAGGACAGACGGUUCUUCCCCCAGUACGUCAAGACCCUGCAGGGUGCAACCUACAGAACAGCUGGGCUCCUGCAUUCCUCCCAGAUCCUGUCUUCAGUAGGACAACAGGCAACAAACUUAAAUUUGGGUCAAGCGAUUCCCCUGCCUCAGCUUCCUGAAUAGCUGGGAUUACAGAUAGCCUGGGAUCUCCUGAAUUUCCAGGUUGGGCCACUCAGGCAUGGAUUGACUCCUACAGUUCAGGCGGAUGGAGAUCCCACCAGCCCACAGCUUAAUUCUUCAGAUGCUUUAUCUUCGUUUCUCAUGUAUCUUCAGUUGGCUUCUAAUGCUCUGUGUGCUCCGGGAUGGAGCAGGUGUGCAGAGGGUGAGAACCCAGCUCUGGGACCAAGUCACUUGCUUCCUUACUUAGCAAGACUAUCGACUUG
rnacentral:sRNA from 1 species